AGUCACUGACAUUAGAUACCCGCGUAGUCCAGGGUGUAAACGCUGCAGACUUGGUGUUGGAGGCCCUUUGGGGGCAUUCAGUGCCGGAGAGAAGUUGUUAAGUCUGCUACUUGGGGAGUACGUCCGCAAGGAUGAAACUUAAGGAAUUGGCGGGGAGCACCGCAACGGGAGGAGCGUGCGGUUUAAUUGGAUUCAACACCGUAAACUCACCAGGGAAGACUGUUACAUGAAGGCCGAGAUGAAGACUCUGCUAGAUUUUCAG
rnacentral:rRNA from 1 species